rnacentral:rRNA from 1 species
UACGGAGGGUGCAAGCGUUAUCCGGAUUCACUGGGUUUAAAGGGUGCGUAGGUGGGCAGGUAAGUCAGUGGUGAAAUCUCCGGGCUUAACCCGGAAACUGCCAUUGAUACUAUCUGUCUUGAAUACCGUGGAGGUGAGCGGAAUAUGUCAUGUAGCGGUGAAAUGCUUAGAUAUGACAUAGAACACCAAUUGCGAAGGCAGCUCACUACGCGAAUAUUGACACUGAGGCACGAAAAGCGUGGGGAUCAAACAGGAGUUAGAAACCCCACGU